UGGGGAAUAUUGCACAAUGGGCGCAAGCCUGAUGCAGCCAUGCCGCGUGUAUGAAGAAGGCCUUCGGGUUGUAAAGUACUUUCAGCGGGGAGGAAGGGAGUAAAGUUAAUACCUUUGCUCAUUGACGUUACCCGCAGAAGAAGCACCGGCUAACUCCGUGCCAGCAGCCGCGGUAAUACGGAGGGUGCAAGCGUUAAUCGGAAUUACUGGGCGUAAAGCGCACGCAGGCGGUUUGUUAAGUCAGAGGUGAAAUCCCCGGGCUCAACCUGGGAACUGCAUCUGAUACUGGCAAGCUUGAGUCUCGUAGAGGGGGGUAGAAUUCCAGGUGUAGCGGUGAAAUGCGUAGAGAUCUGGAGGAAUACCGGUGGCGAAGGCGGCCCCCUGGACGAAGACUGACGCUCAGGUGCGAAAGCGUGGGGAGCAAACA
rnacentral:rRNA from 1 species